GCACGGUUAUCUAGGUAAAAAUGUAUAUAAGCUGUGUUUAGUAGUGAAUAAACGCCAUUUGCCUCACUUACUCCUGGGGUCUGGGUGAGCAUCUGGCCCCGACCUGGUAAAGGGUCGGUUUCGCCCAGCAGUAAGCCCUACAUGUGGACAGAGGACGAACACCGGAUGAGCGAACGGAGACUACAUGCAACAAGUGGUGACCCCGACGUGAUCUGUCUGCUGAGGGUGGCUGCCCGGCGUGCCCGUGACGCGGAGAAGAGCCUGUGAGGUGGCGGCAGGUCGCAUACGUAACAAUGGACCAAGUCAUUAAGGUGGGACUUGCUCACCUCGGUGCUAUGCCAGCGCGCCAUGGCCAGUCAGAAGGCUACGGAACUUAAAACGUGGGGACUGAUAUUAGGAGCCCUUAAAGCGGCCAGAGUUGAGGGAAAGGUAUUGGUGGAGGCUCGAUACCUUUUGGGUCUCAGCGGAGGAGGUGAGACACAGGACCCGGUCGGGUCCGAUGGGGGUUCGGGAGCAGUUUCUUGCAGGGGCCGAGAGGAGACGGAGCCGCCAAUGACCGUUGGCGGGAUGGCGCCGGCUGAGCCGACCGCGCUCAGUUCAAAAGAAGACAAACAACAAGAGAGUGAAAGGUCGUUGUCUCGUCCCCCUCCCCCGUAUCCAAACCCCUCAGGCGGAACGUUGUAUCCUUUAUCAGAAUUACGUCAGUGUUACCUGACUCAAGGGGGCGGAGGAAGCUGUGAUCUACAUGGGCAGGAUCAACUUAGUGCCCACAUGGGGAGGGACCAGACGAAAGGUCCGUCCAAUGCGGACAGGGGGCAUAGCCUACUGUCUCUGGUCACUCCCAGGGGCGGUAGUGCGAGUGAUAGUGUAGAAGAGAAAGAAGGGACUGGCUUUGAGUGCAGGGGGAGGGAUCAAAUGACGGACUGGAAUGGGAUUAGAUCGGAGGCUUUGGGAAAGGGUAUAGUUCCAGAGGCAUUCCAGGUGAUUGUGAGUGAUCGUGGCCCCGAAUGGGUGCCGCCUGACCCCGGGGGUGUUACGCGCCUGGUGGAAUUUAUGGAUAAAAGAGGCCUGAAAUCGCCUCUGACAUUAAAUGCACUACAAACUUUGGCUGCACUGGGGCCUCUCUUCCCCCGUGACAUCACAAACUUAAUGCGUACGGUGCUCAGGCUGGUUCAAUAUACGUUAUGGGAGACGGACUGGGUGGCCGAGUUGGGGGGCCGUGCCGGGGCGGC
rnacentral:lncRNA from 1 species